CCUACGGGUGGCAGCAGUGAGGAAUAUUGGUCAAUGGACGCAAGUCUGAACCAGCCAAGUAGCGUGCAGGAUGACGGCCCUCCGGGUUGUAAACUGCUUUUAGUUGGGAAUAAAAGGGGGCUCGUGAGCCCCGUAUUGUAUGUACCAUCAGAAAAAGGACCGGCUAAUUCCGUGCCAGCAGCCGCGGUAAUACGGAAGGUCCGGGCAUUAUCCGGAUUUAUUGGGUUUAAAGGGCGCGUAGGUGGGCGCUUAAGUCAGGUGUGAAAACUCCGGGCUCAACCUGGAGACUGCACUUGAAACUGGGUGUCUUGAGGGCAGGAGAGGAAAGUGGAAUUCCUAGUGUAGCGGUGAAAUGCGUAGAUAUUAGGAGGAACACCAGUGGCGAAGGCGACUUUCUGGACUGUACCUGACGCUGAGGCGCGAAAGCGUGGGUAGCGAACGGGAUUAGAUACCCCAGUAGUC
rnacentral:rRNA from 1 species